AAACAGCAAUAGAGCCAUGAAUCACAAAGUAGGCCCGCAUACAAAUGCUCAAUGAAUUCUAGGAAUUGGAACAUCUCUAACAACACUGAGACAUAGUACUGGGUUACCUUUUACAGCUACCACACGGCACUAAAUAUCCGCUGUUAUGACUAUAACAGAUAAAAGUUAAAGACAUCCUUUUGUAAAGUUUAAUGUAAAAGUUCAAAUACUAGUAUUAAAACCGAUACUUAGAAAAAAAUCAUGUACUUACAGACUGCCUGAUCCAAUAAAAGUGCUGGGGUCUAUACGACCUUUUAAGGUACAGCUCCUGGGUAGCAUAUAUGUGACUGCAAUAGUAUAUAUGCGAGGCAGCGGAGUAUCCUCAUGUCUCAAAGGAAGGGGAGAAACUACGGAAGCCUAAUAGGGCCGUUUUGAGUUAGAACUUGGAUGAAAACAAUUAGAAGUUAGAAGUUAUGACUUAGAACUUAAACCUUAGACCUUAGAACUUAGAGCUUAGAUGUUAGAAAUAUAAAAAGCGCGAAUUUACAGGAAAACACAGUGAGGGCCGGAAGAGAAAGAACAAGACAAAAGCCAUGACGUCUUACUACACAAUAUUUUUUGGAAUGCUGUUCGUCUAUAUAACAACAGUAAAUAGUGUUGUGACUUCGGGUAUCACCGAUGCCAGUAAUAAUUCACCAUCUGUAAUAGCUUCAUACUUUUUAGAAACAGUAAAGGAAUUAGGUAUUGUGCCAAGGCUACUUCGUUGUGACAGAGGAACUGAAAAUGCAAAAUUGGCAUUGCUGCAACCAUUUUUUGUUUCAGAUACGAAGGUACAGACAGUGUUUCUGGUUUGAAAAGCUUCAUGUAUGGGAAGAAUGUAUCUUACCAGCGAAUAGAAUCUUGGUGGGGAAUAUUGCGUAGACAAGGUGUUCACUUGUGGAUUUCGUAAUUUAAGGGCAUGGUGGAUGCGAAUGUUCUUGAUAUAACAAACAGGGUGCACAUGAAUGUUUGAAAUACAGCUUCAUGGAUUUAAUCCAAGCAGUACUCGAUAUGAUUGCACAACAAUGGAAUGUCACUGAAAUUCGAGCUCAAAAGCAUUCUGAUAAGCCGUGUGGAAUGCCAGAUGUUAAGAUUUUUGUACCUGAAAUAUAUGGUGGACACGGCUUUGGUCAUAACGUUGACCAGGAAUAUAUCGAGAUAUGCAUGGAGUUGUAUGGAGAUCAAAAGCAGCUAUAUUCAGACGAAACAAAAUAACUGUUUCAGCUGUUGUUCUGGAUCAUGUAAGACCUAUGGAUGCAGAAGAAGCUUCAGCUUUGUACACAUAAGCGCUACACUUGAUAGAUAAAUGUUCACAAACAUGUAACUGACAGUUUGUAUUGCGUAUGAAUUUAGCUGAUAUCAUAGAUGAACGGUCAAGUAAGCCAAUCGUUGAUUUUUUUAUUGUUAGUUAAACUGACGGCAAGUUUCAUAUUUUGUGGACCGUUUUAAAGUGUUUACAAACUUGUGUCUUGACUGAAAUCAAAUUAUUCUGAAACUGUUAAGAGCUUUAAGCGUUACGUAUAAGGCGUACAUCAGCAGCACUCUUAAAACAGGAAACUAAUAAGACAAAUUAAGCUAUACUGUUCUUAUGUCUUGAGUAAUUUAUUCGCAUCUGGCGUACUAUUUUGGUUCAUAUUAUCAUAUUAUUUACCCUCGAUCAAUUUGCUCAUGUAACGCUGAAAUAAUUAUGUACAUGUAUUUGUUUCCUGACAUUUAAUAAAUGUUUUGCAUA